GUGAGGAAUCCGGCAUCCAAGAUGUUGGAGGUUAGAGAAGACUGGCACGCAGCAAAUCUUUCCCCUGUCCCUUCGGAGCACCAAAUGCCGCCCAAACUCUCCAGAUAACUGUUCCUGCGUCUCUGAGGCGGGAACUGAAGGCCCAGAUUUCCAUCUCCGCAGAGGAAGCCAGUGCCUUGGCCCCACCCAGCCAUUGUUUCCUCGGGAGGCCCCAGCUCUCAGUGUUGCACUGGGAAGCUCCCACAGCGAAUGUCCUGGAAGUCAAUGCUGGGGGAGAAAGGAGGGAGGGAGACUGGUGGGGGUUGCAGGGGCAAGUUCCUGUCAGAUGUUACUCCGUGGGCACACAUCAAGACACUGGGAAGAAAAAUCAGACUGGCUUUCAGUGUGCAGCCCUGACUGUCCUGGAACUUAUGCUGUUUGACAAACUGGCCUUAAACUCAGUCAUGCCACUGCCUCUGCCUCCUGAGUCUUGGGAUUAAAGCCUUAAUGGUUCCACUGUUUACACCUGGAUGGAGCUUGCCGCUCAAUCGUUCUGCCACGCCCACUGCUGGAGCCUGCCGCUUUCCUGUUCCGAAGCCAUCACGUGGUCACCCUGCUACUGGAUUCCAAGAUUAUUUGGCGUGAAUCGGGCCCCCUUCCCCUGCUUCAUAACUGCAUGCAGAAUAGUAAAAUUGAGCUUUGAUCAGAA